GAAGGUAUAGCUCAGUUGUAGAGCGCAUGCUUAGCAUGAUGACGUCCUGGGUUCAAUCCCCAGUACCUCCA
rnacentral:tRNA from 1 species